UUCCAAACUUUCCAUGUUGGUGACAUACUUUUUAGACAAGCAUCAUUUCACAACACAGCAAUUCAGUUUUACUAGCAAACUGGAGGUUAAACUAACCCCUUUGCAGCCCCGGGAAGAGCACGGGGAGCAUUUGUGCGACACAUCUAUAAGCUGCAGCCGACACACUAAUGUGUCAUGACACACAGUUUGGAAAGCUCUGGCCUACAGGAUAUGAACAGGCAUGACACUAUCAAUUCCAGGCCUUGCUAGUCUGCAUGCUCCAACCCUUUCUCUCUGCAGAAUUCAGAGAGAUCUGGAAAAUUCCCUUUUUGUGCUCUGGGCAAGAUAAGAGUGACAGAUGUAGAGCUUCCUUAUGUGCAUGUUAGCCAAAGAGGGUCAAGAAGGCAUGGGAGGCCUGAUCUACACUGCACUACUACGUAUGCAAAAUAAUACAAGUUAUAUGAUCCAGUCCUGGUAUUUUGCAUAGGCCACACGCAGCUGACCUCAAUAUCAUGUCUGCUCUUCAGCCUCCAUCUCCAUAAGAUGCAGUAGACUGACAGGUGGAUUUAAACACAGAGAAAGCCAGGCACCACUGAAGAAAGCUAGGAAAUUGCCCAGUCUAUUAAAGAAUACAGUAGUAAUCGAUUGUUCAUCACAUGCUAGUUGACACAGGUUGGACCAUGGAGUUUGGACCUUGUGUUGAAAAUGUGUUAAGAGAAUAGCUCCUCUGAACCAGAUUGUUGAAAUUUUGAUGUGCCUUCUGCAUCUGGCAACUGGAGACAAAACACAUUGGUAUACAGUGGUACCUUGGCUCUCAAGCACCUUGGUACUCAUACGCCUUGGUUCCCAAACGCUGAAAACACGGAAGCAAGCAUUCUGGUUUUCGAACGUUUUUCAGAAGCCGAAUGUCCGAUGCUGCUGUCGGCUAUUGUUUCCAGGGUGCCUGCACCAAUCAGAAGCUGCACCUUGGUUUUCGAACAUUUCAGAAGUCAAAUGGACUUCCGGAUCGGAUUAAGUUUGGUGCUUUUGUUUUUGCUAUUUAUUUUGCAUUUCUGUUUUUGAGGCUUUCUCAGUUAAUUUGUUUUUAUGACUGUGUAGAACCCAGUUCGGCUACUGAUUGAUUGUGUGACUGCGGAAAUGGAUAAAAGCCCCCCAUCAAAACAAUGACUAUCCGUGCAGGAAACCCACUCUGGCGCUGAAGAAGAUGAAGAAGAAGAAGAGAAGAGUUUGGAUUUGAUAUCCCGCUUUAUCACUACCUGAAGGAGUCUCAAAGUGGCUAACAUUCUCCUUUCCCUUCCUCCCCCACAACAAACACUCUGUGAGUUGUUACAGUUACCGCGAAGACAGAAGGGAAAACCGAUUCUUACUAUAAGUCCUUUGAAGGCCUUCUUCUCUGUGAUGCGAUACAAACCCUCCUUGGUCUGUAUUUUGAUGUGCUUGACUUCGGCGUUGAACCUGAGGGACACAAAUCCACAUGGCAGUUGGGUUAAUAAUGGUUUCCCAUUUCUGUACAGCAUUGUUAACAAUUGGUAACAACGGCUCACGUAACCUCAUUUAAGAAGAGCUCUAAGCUAAGAGAUAGAAGCAAGGUGCCUGCCUCAUUCAAAGUCAAAAUUAAUGCUGGCAUUUGAAGUAAGGCAAUGCUUCAGCUGUGAAGAAGAAACCAAGGAUGUGGUACCUCGGUUUUCGAACGUAAUCCAUUCUGGAAGACCGUUCCGAGUUCUGAAGCGUUUGAAAACCGAAAACUCAAUACGGAAGCCGUGUUUCCGGCUCAACUUCAGAGGCGCGUUUGAAAAUCGAAGCAUUUACUUCCGGGUUUACAGCAUUCAAGUUCCGAAAUGUUCGUCAACGGAGACGUUCGAAAAUCGAGGUACCACUGUACUGCACAUACAAAUCUCCUUCUCUACCCUGAUUUUCUAGUGUGGGGAGCAAUUCUAACAUUACUUGAUGCUG